rnacentral:rRNA from 1 species
AGUGGCGAAAGGGUGAGGAAUAGAUAGGAACGUGCCUUUGGCUUCGGAAUAGCGUCCCGAAAGGGGCGGUAAUACCGGAUAACGUCUACGGACCAAAGAUUUAUCGGCCUUAGAGCGGCCUAUCUCCUAUCAGCUUGUUGGUGGGGUAAUGGCCUACCAAGGCAACGACGGGUAGCGGGACUGAGAGGUUGGCCCGCCACAUCGGGACUGAGACACUGCCCGGACCUCCACGGAGGGCUGCAGUAACGAAUAUUGGGCAAUGGGCGAAAGCCUGACCCAGCAAUGCCGCGUGUAGGAUGAAGCCCCUCGGGGUGUAAACUACUGUCAGGGGUUAGAAAGCUACGGUUGAUCAACCCCAGAGGAAGUCACGGCUAACUUCGUGCCAGCAGCCGCGGUAAUACGAAGGUGGCGAGCGUUAUUCGGAAUUACUGGGCUUAAAGCGCACGCAGGCGGAAUAUUUAGCGUCUUGUGAAAUCCCCCGGCUUAACCGGGGAAUUGCAGGGCGAACUGGUAUUCUUGAGGCAAGUAGGGGUGCAUGGAACUCUUGGUGGAGCGGUGGAAUGCGUAGAUCUCAAGAGGAACGCCGAUGGUGAAGACAGUGCACUGGGCCUUGUCCUGACGCUGAGGUGCGAAAGCGUGGGGAGCGAACCGGGAUUAGAUACCCCGGUAGUCCAGGCCGUAAACGAUGCCUACUAGGUCGUGGUUGUCCUGAACACACUCACGGCCGAAGCAAAAAGUGUUUAGUAGCACGCCUGGGGAGUUACGUUCGCAAGGCUAAAACUCAAAGGAAUUGACGGGGGCUCACACAACCGUUGGAGCAUGUGGAUUAAUUCGAAGCAACGCGCAGAACCUUACCUGGGUUUGACAUGUAUGGAUGCCUGCUGUGAAAACAGUUAGGUUGCCUUCGGGUGAAACUUACACAGGUGCUGCAUGGCUGUCGUCAGCUCGUGUCGUGAGAUGUCGGGUUAAGUCCUUUAACGAGCGAAACCCUCGCCGUUAGUUGCCAGCGGGUAAUCCCGGGGACUCUAACGGGACUGCCGGGUGUCAAACCGGAGGAAGGUGGGGAUGACGUCAAGUCCUCAUGGCCUUUAUGCCCAGGGCCUCACACGUGUUACAAUGGGUGCUACAGAGCGACGCGAGACCGCGAGGUGGAGCUAAUCGCAAAAAAGCAUCCUCAGUUCGGAUUGCAGGCUGGCAAUUCGCCUGCAUGAAGUUGGAAUCGCUAGUAAUCGCG